GCUGCCGCCAUGAUUGUGAGGCUUCCCCACCCACGUGGAAAUAAGAGGCAGAGGAUGUUGACACAAACUUACAGACUGGGACUCCAAGGAUCAGCCAGAUGAAAUGCUAUGUGCAGAGUCUUCAUUUCCCAGCUCAGUGGUGGACAGCAGAGGACUCUAAGAUCCAGCCACCUCUUGGGAUGCACACGUUUCUCUUCAACUGCGUGAUGUGAACUGCGUCACAUGGUAAGAGAGCUCAGCUAUUGAUCAAUGGCUUUACCAGUCUUUAGUUCACUCAAAUCUAGGAAAGGAGCUGACAGCCUAUUUUGUCUUGGGGCCUAAGCAGGGUUCUCCGUUCCAGAUUUACCAGCAAAGGUCCAUUUCUUUUCUUUCUUUCUUUUUUUUUUUUUUUUUUUUUGAGAUGGAUUCUUGCUCUGUCGCCCAAGCUGGAGUGCCGUGGCACCAUCUCAGCUCACUGCAACCUCUGCCUCCCAGGUUCAAGCAAUUCUCCUCAACUUCCUGAGUAGCUGGGAUUACAGGUUCCUGCCACCACUCCUGGCUAAUUUUUUUGUAUUUUUAGUAGAGAUAGGGUUUAACAAUCUUGGCCAGGCUGGUCUUGAACUCCUGACCUUAUGAUCUGCCCGCCUUGGCCUCGCAAAGUGCUGGGAUUACAGGCUUGAGCCACCAUGCCCGGCCGGUCUGCUGUCUAUUUCUUAAUUGGCUCAGAACUUGAAGGAAAAAAUGGUGUAAUGAAUAUUAUACAAUGUCAACCUUAUUUUUAUUCUACCCACCAUUUUCUUCAUAGCUUAGGUGUAUUAUCUUAUUUUAUUUUGAAAAAUCCCAAAGAGGUGGACACUACUAUUGUUUUAAUUUUACAGAUGAAUUUAAAAAUAGCAGAGAUUAGAUUACUAAAGUUGAGAUUUAUAUAGCUGGUAAGAAAGAAGACUGAAAUUUGAAUCUAUUAUUCAUUUGUUCAGUACUUUAGUAUUGGACUAAAAUACCGAUAAAUCCAUAAGUCCACUUUGGUACUAUACUUAUGCUUGCUGGAAAUAUAUGCAUAAAAUAGUUAUAGUUGUUAUCUAAGUGAAAUUUAUAGCUUAGGGAGACUAUAUUAAUUAUAUAUUAAUUUAAUUAUCAUAAAAGUAGUUAUGUAAUUACAAGCUGCAAUAAUGUCUUCAAAGACCAUUCUCUUAAUCACUGUAGUAUUACUAUCUUGCCUUGACUUUGAGAUUUUCUAGUGCUGGAAUUAAUAUUAUUUCAUCUUUUAUUGUCUUGUUGAAACAUUCCAUCAUUCUUAUUUGGUUGUUUUAUUAUGAUCAACUGACAUAUAAGCAGACCUGAAAAACACUUGCUUGGGAAGAUCAUGAUGGAGAUUCUUGGAAAUCUCCUUGCUAUUACUGGUCCCCAUCCUACUAUAGUAUCAUCCUUUAAGAGGGACAGAAUUGUUCCUAACAUCUAGAUCAUGAAGAUGAAUUCCCUAAAAGAGAAUUUUAAUUACAGAAAAAAAUAAAAACUUAGAGGUCAUUCAUCUGAGCUUUUUAUUAUGUUAUA
ensembl:lncRNA PCAT1 prostate cancer associated transcript 1